rnacentral:rRNA from 1 species
UCGGGAAUUUUGGGCAAUGGGCGAAAGCCUGACCCAGCAACGCCGCGUGAAGGAUGAAGUAUUUCGGUAUGUAAACUUCGAAAGAAUAGGAAGAAUAAAUGACGGUACUAUUUAUAAGGUCCGGCUAACUACGUGCCAGCAGCCGCGGUAAUACGAAGGGGGCUAGCGUUGUUCGGAUUUACUGGGCGUAAAGCGCGUGUAGGCGGACUUGUAAGUUGGGGGUGAAAUCCCGAGGCUCAACCUCGGAACUGCCUCCAAAACUACAAAUCUGGACCUAAGUAGAGGCAAGUGGAAUUGCGAGUGUAGAGGUGAAAUUCGUAGAUAUUCGCAGGAACACCAGUGGCGAAGGCGACUUGCUGGACUUAUGGUGACGCUGAGACGCGAAAGCGUGGGGAGCAAACAGGAUUAGAUACCCGGGUAGUCCCUGAGCGGGCUGGCAAGGCGCAU